UACGGAGGUGGCGAGCGUUACUCGGUUUGACUGGGUGUAAAGGGUCUGCAGGCGGCCAGGUAUGUGAAAGGUGAAAUCUCUCGGCUUAACCGAGAAACUGCCUUUCAAACUGCUUGGCUUGAGGCUGGAAAGGGAGAGCGGAACUGCCGGUGUAAAGGUGAAAUUUGUGGAUAUCGGCAGGAACGCCUGUGGAGAAGUCGGCUCUCUGGUCCAGAUCUGACGCUCAGGGACGAAAGCUAGGGGAGCGAACAGGAUUAGAUACCCCCGUA
rnacentral:rRNA from 1 species